UCUUCAUGAUGAAUCUAUCCCGAACCUGAUUUCAGAUUUGAUUGAUAAGCACAUACUGAUCUGACUACUGAAAU